rnacentral:lncRNA from 1 species
UAUAUAUAAAAUCCCCACAUUCCAAACUCUUCACCACACAUCUUUAUUCAGCACGCUCGUGAUUUUAACUCCAUCACUGAAAUUUUGGAAGCUUCUCCAAGGCCUCAGCUCACCAGCAGUGCUCUCCUGGGGGUCAGUGCCAGUAAAAAUCCCAAAUUUCUGAGAUCCAACUCUGCUCCACAGCUGUGGCCACCUCAGGACGUGUCCCCGUGGCCACCUCGGGCCGGGGUGUGUCCCCAGGGAGCUCUGCUGGCCCCACUGACGCUGCUUGGGUUUGUUUCAGUUCCCCUUUCCAGGGAUCCUGCCCCAAACUCUGCUGAGGAGGGCGGAAAAUCUCACCCUGGUUCUGGGGGAGGGGACUCUGCCUGGGCACAGCCCCAGGACGGGCACCCAGGGGGGCUCUGAGGGCUCCUGGACCCGUCUGGGCCAGCCCUGGUGGCUCUGGUGUCCCCGGCACUGGGGCAGGUGGCACUGGCACGAGUCAGACCUGCCCACGGGGCUGUGUCUGUGGGGUGGUGUCCGUGGGGUUUGUGUCCGUGGGGUUUGUGUCCAUGGGGUUUGUGUCCCACCUUCCCAUGGGAUUUGUGUCUGACCUUCCCAUGGGAUUUGUGUCCAACGUUCCCAUAGGAUUUGUGUCCAAUCUGCCCAUCCUCUUUCUUCUGUCGUUAAUUCUUAUUACCACUUUGGAAGAAGAAGGGGUUGUGUCCAACCUCCCCAUGGGACCAUGUCCAACAUCCCCGUGGGGUCAUGUCCAACCUUCCCACGGGAUUUGUGUCUGAGCUUCCCAUGGGAUUUGUGUCCAGCAUGUCCAUGGGGUUGUGUCCAUGGGAUUUAUGUCUGACAUUCCCAUGGGAUUUAUGUCCAGCUUGCCCAUGGGAUCACAUCCAAUCUGCCCAUGGGAUUUAUGCCCAUCCUGCCCAUGGGAUCACGUCCAACCUCUCUAUGGGGUGUGUCCAACAUCCUCAUGGGGUCAUGUCCAACCUGCCCAUGGGGCCGUGUCCCUGCACCCCCACAAUGCCCUGACAGAGCCUGCACCCCCUUCCUCUCAGUUUCACAGCAGGAACUGCAGGAAUUUUUCCACGAGACCAAAACAAUCCCCCCUAUCCCAGGGGCAGCUCCAGCCACACCAAAUCCCUUGGCCAGACACUAUUCCCAGCCCGUUCCCUCAGUGCCAGCCCUGUGGAGGUGUCACUGCUGUCCAAUGCCAGCCCUGUGGAGGUGUCACUGCUGUCACCCCCUGCCCAGCCCGUUCCCUCAGUGCCAGCCCUGUGGAGGUGUCACUGCUGUCACCCCCUG